GAUGAACGCUGGCGGCGUACCUAAUACAUGCAAGUCGAGCGAACAGACGAGGAGCUUGCUCCUCUGACGUUAGCGGCGGACGGGUGAGUAACACGUGGAUAACCUACCUAUAAGACUGGGAUAACUUCGGGAAACCGGAGCUAAUACCGGAUAAUAUAUUGAACCGCAUGGUUCAAUAGUGAAAGACGGUUUUGCUGUCACUUAUAGAUGGAUCCGCGCCGCAUUAGCUAGUUGGUAAGGUAACGGCUUACCAAGGCGACGAUGCGUAGCCGACCUGAGAGGGUGAUCGGCCACACUGGGACUGAGACACGGUCCAGACUCCUACGGGAGGCAGCAGUAGGGAAUCUUCCGCAAUGGGCGAAAGCCUGACGGAGCAACGCCGCGUGAGUGAUGAAGGUCUUCGGAUCGUAAAACUCUGUUAUUAGGGAAGAACAAAUGUGUAAGUAACUAUGCACGUCUUGACGGUACCUAAUCAGAAAGCCACGGCUAACUACGUG
rnacentral:rRNA from 1 species